rnacentral:rRNA from 1 species
GACGAACGCUGGCGGCGUGCUUAACACAUGCAAGUCGAACGGAAAGGCCCUGCUUUUGUGGGGUGCUCGAGUGGCGAACGGGUUAGUAACACGUGAGUAACCUGCCCUUGACUUUGGGAUAACUUCAGGAAACUGGGGCUAAUACCGGAUAGGAGCUCCUGCUGCAUGGUGGGGGUUGGAAAGUUUCGGCGGUUGGGGAUGGACUGGCGGCUUAUCAGCUUGUUGGUGGGGUAGUGGCUUACCAAGGCUUUGACGGGUAGCCGGCCUGAGAGGGUGACCGGCCACAUUGGGACUGAGAUACGGCCCAGACUCAUACGGGAGGCAGCAGUGGGGAAUAUUGCACAAGGGGCGGAAGCAUGAUGCAGCAACGCCGCGUGCGAGAUGACGGCCUUCGGGUUGUAAACCGCUUUCGCCUGUGACGAAGCGUGAGUGACGGUAAUGGGUAAAGAAGCACCGGCUAACUACGUG